rnacentral:rRNA from 1 species
AUGCCCAUGUCGUUGCUCCCGCCGGACACGAGAUCGGUUGGCUGCCGGGUAGUGUACCUGUGCCGGGACCCCAAGGACGCCCUCGUGUCAAGGCUACACUUCGAGAACAAGGCGUUUAAGGGCACCAACCUGUCCAUGGACAGUGCUUUCAGCAUGUUCUGCGAGGGGUUCUCGCCCUAUGGCCCCUUCUGGGAUCACUGCCUCGAGUACUGGAGCGAGAGCAUGGCAAGGCCGGACAAUGUUCUUUUCCUGAAGUAUGAAGGGAUCAAGUCUGAUCCUGUGCCCGUCGUGAGGAAGCUGGCGAAAUUCCUCGGCGUCCCGCUGACCACGGAGGAGGAGAACUCCAGUGUUGCUCAGGAGGUGGUGCGACUGUGCAGCUUCGAGAUGCUUACCAGCCUGCAGGUGAAUCAGGCUGGCGGCGUUCGUCAUGGAGAUAACGUUCACAUCAAUAAUUCUGUGUUUUACAGAAAAGGAGAAGUGGGGGACUGGGCAAACCACAUGAGCCACGAGAUGGGGGAGGAGUUGGACCGCAUCGUCCAACACAAGCUUGAAGGAUCUGGGCUUGUGUUUUGA